AUGGUCUUUCGCGAUCUGAUGAUGUUAAUUCCUCUUUAGCGUUGUAUGAAGAAGUCGUUAAGACAGGGGUGAAGUUGAAUGAGUAUACGAGUAGUGUUUUAUUGAAUGGACUGUGCAAGAAAGGGAAGACGGAUAAGGCUGCAGAGAUUUUGAAGAAGAUGCUGGGAAAUGGGCUUACUCCUACAGAUGUGUUGUUUAAUACCAUUUUGAGUGGCUAUUGCAAAGAGGGCAAUAUGGAGAAGGCUUAUUUAACUAUUGAUGAAAUGGAGAUUUCUGGGGUGAAGCCGAGUUGUGUCACAUUUAAUACUCUGAUCACGAAAUUCUGUGAAUUGGGUAUGAUGGAAGAGGCAAACAAGUGGUUAAGGAAAAUGCUUGAGAAGUCAGUUUCCCCUAAUGUGCAGACGUAUAACAUCUUAAUUGACG
rnacentral:misc_RNA from 1 species